UACGUAGGGGGCAUGCGUUAUCCGGAUUUACUGGGUGUAAAGGGAGCGUAGACGGCAUAGCAAGUCUGAAGUGAAAGCCCGUGGCUCAACCGCGGAACUGCUUUGGAAACCGUUAAGCUGGAGUACUGGAGAGGCAAGCGGAAUUCCUAGUGUAGCGGUGAAAUGCGUAGAUAUUAGGAGGAACACCAGUGGCGAAGGCGGCUUGCUGGACAGAGACUGACGUUGAGGCUCGAAAGCGUGGGGAGCAAACAGG
rnacentral:rRNA from 1 species